rnacentral:rRNA from 2 species
CUAGCGGUUAAAAAGCUCGUAGUUGGAUCUGUGCUAGCCGUCCGGUGCACACUUUGUGUGUUACUGGUUUGGUUGGCUUUUCUGCCGGUCUUUCCCCGGCGUUGGCCUUUACCGGUCGGCGUCGGUGGGCUGGCGAGUUUACUUUGAACAAAUCAGAGUGCUUCAAACAGGCGUUUCGCUUGAAUGUUCGUGCAUGGAAUAAUAGAAGAGGAUUUCGGUCCGAUUUUAUUGGUUUUGCUGACCGAGAUAAUGGUUAACAGAGACAAACGGGGCCAUUCGUAUUGCUACGUGAGAGGUGAAAUUCUUGGACCGUAGCAAGACGGACUACAGCGAAAGCAUUUGGCAAGAAUGUCUUCAUUAAUCAAGAACGAAAGUCAGAGGUUCGAAGGCGAUCAGAUACCGCCCUAGUUCUGACCGUAAACGAUGCCAACUAGCGAUCCGCCGGCGGAUUUAUUCGCCCUGGUGGGGAGCUUCCCGGAAACGAAAGUCUUCCGGUUCCGGGGGAAGUAUGGUUGCAAAGCUGAAACUUAAAGGAAUUGACGGAAGGGCACCACCAGGAGUGGAGCCUGCGGCUUAAUUUGACUCAACACGGGGAAACUCACCCGGCCCGGACACCGUAAGGAUUGACAGAUUGAUAGCUUUUUCAUGAUUCGGUGGAUGGUGGUGCAUGGCCGUUCUUAGUUCGUGGAGCGAUUUGUCUGGUUUAUUCCGAUAACGAGCGAGACUCUAGCCUACUAAAUAGUUGGCUCAUUGCUUCUGUGGGCAAACUUCUUAGAGGGAUUUUUCGGUGUUCAGCCGCACGAAAUUGAGCAAUAACAGGUCUGUGAUGCCCUUAGAUGUCCGGGGCUGCACGCGCGCUACACUGGCAAAAUCAGCGUGCUUGUCCUUCCCCGAAAGGGGUUGGUAAACCGGUGAAAAUUUGCCGUGAUUGGGAUCGGACAUUGCAAUUAUUGUCCGUGAACGAGGAAUUCCUUGUAGGGGCGAGUCAUCAACUCGCUCUGAAUACGUCCCUGCCCUUUGUACACACCGCCCGUCGCUGCCCGGGACUGAGCCAUUUCGAGAAAUUCGGGGACGGUUAGUGUUCCGGCUUCGGUCGGUAUGCAGACUGGAACCGAUUUAAUCGCAGUGGCUUGAACCGGGCAAAAGUCGUAACAAGGUAGCUGUAGGUGAACCUGCUGCUG